rnacentral:tRNA from 1 species
CGGGGAAUAGCGCAGUCUGGUAGCGCGCAAGCUUUGGGAGCUUGAAGCCGUGGGUUCAAAUCCCACUUCCCCGACCA